UCAUGCUAGGCGGGGAGCUAGCGAUUCCCUGUAACCCGCAAUUCGCUAUAGCGGGGUCGAAUUCCUACCCGAGGUAAUUAAGACCAAAAGAGGGCGUGAGGAGAAAGUGUUGAGAGUUGGGUCCCAUGCAAUAGGGGCUUGUGAACCUGGUCAGGACGGGAACGUAGCAGCCAUAAGCAGGAUUUCCCUAUGUGUUAUGGGUUUUCCUGGCUUGAGCUUAUCUUCUCAAAAGCGCUUUGGUUUAAAUUAACAGAGGUAGGUGCAUGA
rnacentral:SRP_RNA from 1 species